GUCAGAAUAGCUUAGCUGGUAGAGCAUGAGACUCUUAAUCUCAAGGUCGUGGGUUCAAGCGCCACAUUGGGCA